AGGGUUGUAGUUAAGUAUAACAUUUGUUUUGCAUACAAAAAGUAUUGAUUUUCAAUCUUCCUU
rnacentral:tRNA from 1 species